rnacentral:rRNA from 1 species
AACGAACGCUGGCGGCAUGCCUAACACAUGCAAGUCGAACGAGACCUUCGGGUCUAGUGGCGCACGGGUGCGUAACGCGUGGGAACCUGCCCUUAGGUUCGGAAUAACUCCCCGAAAGGGGUGCUAAUACCGGGUAAUGUCUUCGGACCAAAGAUUUAUCGCCUUUGGAUGGGCCCGCGUUGGUUUAGCCAGUUGGUAGGGUAAAAGCCUACCAAGGCGACGAUCCAUAGCUGGUCAGAGAGGAAGGUCAGCCACACUGGGACUGGGACACGGCCCAGACUACUACGCGAGGGAGCAGAGGGGAAUAUAGGAAAAUGGGCGAAAGCCUGAACCAGCACUGCCGCGUGAGUGAUGAAGGCCUUAGGGAAGUAAAGCUCUUUUACCCGGGAUGAUAAUGACAGUACCGGGAGAAUAAGCACCGGCUAACUCCGUG